AUUGAACGCUGGCGGCAUGCUUUACACAUGCAAGUCGAACGGUAACAGGCCGCAAGGUGCUGACGAGUGGCGAACGGGUGAGUAAUGCAUCGGAACGUGCCCAGUCGUGGGGGAUAACGCAGCGAAAGCUGUGCUAAUACCGCAUACGAUCUAUGGAUGAAAGCGGGGGACCGUAAGGCCUCGCGCGAUUGGAGCGGCCGAUGUCAGAUUAGGUAGUUGGUGGGGUAAAGGCCCACCAAGCCAACGAUCUGUAGCUGGUCUGAGAGGACGACCAGGCACACUGGGACUGAGCAACGGCCCAGACUCCUACGGGAGGCAGCAGUGGGGAAUCUUGGACAAUGGGCGCAAGCCUGAUCCAGCCAUGCCGCGUGUCUGAAGAAGGCCUUCGGGUUGUAAAGGACUUUUGUCCGGGAGCAAAUGCUGGUGGCUAACAUCCACCGGAGCUGAGAGUACCGGAAGAAUAAGCACCGGCUAACUACGUGCCAGCAGCCGCGGUAACAC
rnacentral:rRNA from 1 species